rnacentral:rRNA from 1 species
UGGGGAAUAUUGCACAAUGGGCGAAAGCCUGAUGCAGCGACGCCGCGUGAGUGAAGAAGUAUUUCGGUAUGUAAAGCUCUAUCAGCAGGGAAGAAAAUGACGGUACCUGACUAAGAAGCCCCGGCUAACUACGUGCCAGCAGCCGCGGUAAUACGUAGGGGGCAAGCGUUAUCCGGAUUUACUGGGUGUAAAGGGAGCGUAGACGGCGAAGCAAGUCUGAAGUGAAAACCCAGGGCUCAACCCUGGGACUGCUUUGGAAACUGUUUUGCUAGAGUGUCGGAGAGGUAAGUGGAAUUCCUAGUGUAGCGGUGAAAUGCGUAGAUAUUAGGAGGAACACCAGUGGCGAAGGCGGCUUACUGGACGAUAACUGACGUUGAGGCUCGAAAGCGUGAGGAGCAAACAGG